UACGAGUGGUGCUAGCGUUAUUCGGAAUCAUUGGGCGUAAAGGGCGCGUAGACGGCGUGUUAAGUUUGCUGUUAAAUCCUUCGGCUCAACUGAAGAUCAGCGGUGAAUACUGGCAUGCUAGAGGGUGGAAGAGAGAAGUGGAAUUCUCGGAGUAGCGGUAAAAUGCGUAGAUCUCGAGAGGAACACCAAUGGCGAAGGCAGCUUCUUGGUCCAUUCCUGACGUUGAGGCGCGAAAGCGUGGGGAGCAAACAGGAUUAGAUACCCUGGUAGUCCACGCUGUAAACGAUAAUCACUAGACGUUAAUUCUGUUUUACGGGAUUAGUGUCGAAGCUAACGCGUUAAGUGAUUCGCCUGGGAAGUACGGUCGCAAGAUUAAA
rnacentral:rRNA from 1 species